rnacentral:rRNA from 1 species
AUGAACGCUGGCGGCGUGCCUCAUCCAUGCAAGUCGCUCGAACAGACGAGGAGCUUGCUCCUCUGACGUUAGCGGCGGACGGGUGAGUAACACGUGGAUAACCUACCUAUAAGACUGGGAUAACUUCGGGAAACCGGAGCUAAUACCGGAUAAUAUAUUGAACCGCAUGGUUCAAUAGUGAAAGACGGUUUUGCUGUCACUUAUAGAUGGAUCCGCGCCGCAUUAGCUAGUUGGUAAGGUAACGGCUUACCAAGGCAACGAUGCGUAGCCGACCUGAGAGGGUGAUCGGCCACACUGGAACUGAGACACGGUCCAGACUCCUACGGGAGGCAGCAGUAGGGAAUCUUCCGCAAUGGGCGAAAGCCUGACGGAGCAACGCCGCGUGAGUGAUGAAGGUCUUCGGAUCGUAAAACUCUGUUAUUAGGGAAGAACAAAUGUGUAAGUAACUAUGCACGUCUUGACGGUACCUAAUCAGAAAGCCACGGCUAACUACGUG